UAUUAUGGAAAUUGAGAUGACGGGUGGU
rnacentral:piRNA from 1 species